rnacentral:rRNA from 1 species
CUUACACAUGCAGUCGAACGAUGAAGUCCAGCUUGCUGGGUGGAUUAGUGGCGAACGGGUGAGUAACACGUGGGUGAUCUGCCCUGCACUCUGGGAUAAGCCUGGGAAACUGGGUCUAAUACCGGAUAUGACCUCGGGAUGCAUGUCCUGGGGUGGAAAGUUUUUCGGUGCAGGAUGAGCCCGCGGCCUAUCAGCUUGUUGGUGGGGUAAUGGCCUACCAAGGCGACGACGGGUAGCCGGCCUGAGAGGGCGACCGGCCACACUGGGACUGAGACACGGCCCAGACUCCUACGGGAGGCAGCAGUGGGGAAUAUUGCACAAUGGGCGCAAGCCUGAUGCAGCGACGCCGCGUGAGGGAUGACGGCCUUCGGGUUGUAAACCUCUUUCAGCAGGGACGAAGCGCAAGUGACGGUACCUGCAGAAGAAGCACCGGCCAACUACGUGCCAGCAGCCGCGGUAAUACGUAGGGUGCGAGCGUUGUCCGGAAUUACUGGGCGUAAAGAGCUCGUAGGCGGUUUGUCGCGUCGUCUGUGAAAACCCGCAGCUCAACUGCGGGCUUGCAGGCGAUACGGGCAGACUCGAGUACUGCAGGGGAGACUGGAAUUCCUGGUGUAGCGGUGAAAUGCGCAGAUAUCAGGAGGAACACCGGUGGCGAAGGCGGGUCUCUGGGCAGUAACUGACGCUGAGGAGCGAAAGCGUGGGUAGCGAACAGGAUUAGAUACCCUGGUAGUCCACGCCGUAAACGGUGGGCGCUAGGUGUGGGUUUCCUUCCACGGGAUCCGUGCCGUAGCCAACGCAUUAAGCGCCCCGCCUGGGGGAGUACGGCCGCAAGGCUAAAACUCAAAGGAAUUGACGGGGGCCCGCACAAGCGGCGGAGCAUGUGGAUUAAUUCGAUGCAACGCGAAGAACCUUACCUGGGUUUGACAUGUACCGGACGACUGCAGAGAUGUGGUUUCCCUUGUGGCCGGUAGACAGGUGGUGCAUGGCUGUCGUCAGCUCGUGUCGUGAGAUGUUGGGUUAAGUCCCGCAACGAGCGCAACCCUUGUCCUGUGUUGCCAGCACGUGAUGGUGGGGACUCGCAGGAGACUGCCGGGGUCAACUCGGAGGAAGGUGGGGACGACGUCAAGUCAUCAUGCCCCUUAUGUCCAGGGCUUCACACAUGCUACAAUGGUCGGUACAGAGGGCUGCGAUACCGUGAGGUGGAGCGAAUCCCUUAAAGCCGGUCUCAGUUCGGAUCGGGGUCUGCAACUCGACCCCGUGAAGUCGGAGUCGCUAGUAAUCGCAGAUCAGCAACGCUGCGGUGAAUACGUUCCCGGGCCUUGUACACACCGCCCGUCACGUCAUGAAAGUCGGUAACACCCGAAGCCGGUGGCCUAACCCCUCGUGGGAGGGAGCCGUCUA